rnacentral:rRNA from 1 species
UGGGGAAUAUUGCACAAUGGGGGAAACCCUGAUGCAGCGACGCCGCGUGAACGAAGAAGGUAUUCGUAUCGUAAAGUUCUGUCCUAUGGGAAGAUAAUGACAGUACCAUAGAAGAAAGCUCCGGCUAAAUACGUGCCAGCAGCCACGGUAAUACGUAUGGAGCGAGCGUUGUCCGGAAUCACUGGGCGUAAAGGGUUCGCAGGCGGAAAUGCAAGUCAGGUGUAAAAGGCAGUAGCUUAACUACUGUAAGCAUUUGAAACUACAUAUCUUGAGAAGAGUAGAGGUAAGUGGAAUUUUUAGUGUAGCGGUGAAAUGCGUAGAUAUUAAAAAGAAUACCGGUGGCGAAGGCGACUUACUGGGCUCAUUCUGACGCUGAGGAACGAAAGCGUGGGUAGCAAACAGG